rnacentral:rRNA from 1 species
CAAUUUAAACAACGAAGAGUUUGAUCCUGGCUCAGGAUGAACGCUAGCGACAGGCUUAACACAUGCAAGUCGAGGGGCAGCGGGGGUAGCAAUACCCGCCGGCGACCGGCGCACGGGUGAGUAACGCGUAUGCAACUUACCUAUCAGAGGGGGAUAACCCGGCGAAAGUCGGACUAAUACCGCAUGAAGCAGGGAUCCCGCAUGGGAAUAUUUGCUAAAGAUUCAUCGCUGAUAGAUAGGCAUGCGUUCCAUUAGGCAGUUGGCGGGGUAACGGCCCACCAAACCGACGAUGGAUAGGGGUUCUGAGAGGAAGGUCCCCCACAUUGGUACUGAGACACGGACCAAACUCCUACGGGAGGCAGCAGUGAGGAAUAUUGGUCAAUGGCCGAGAGGCUGAACCAGCCAAGUCGCGUGAGGGAUGAAGGUUCUAUGGAUCGUAAACCUCUUUUAUAAGGGAAUAAAGUGCGGGACGUGUCCCGUUUUGUAUGUACCUUAUGAAUAAGGAUCGGCUAACUCCGUGCCAGCAGCCGCGGUAAUACGGAGGAUCCGAGCGUUAUCCGGAUUUAUUGGGUUUAAAGGGUGCGUAGGCGGCCUUUUAAGUCAGCGGUGAAAGUCUGUGGCUCAACCAUAGAAUUGCCGUUGAAACUGGGGGGCUUGAGUAUGUUUGAGGCAGGCGGAAUGCGUGGUGUAGCGGUGAAAUGCAUAGAUAUCACGCAGAACCCCGAUUGCGAAGGCAGCCUGCCAAGCCAUGACUGACGCUGAUGCACGAAAGCGUGGGGAUCAAACAGGAUUAGAUACCCUGGUAGUCCACGCAGUAAACGAUGAUCACUAGCUGUUUGCGAUACACUGUAAGCGGCACAGCGAAAGCGUUAAGUGAUCCACCUGGGGAGUACGCCGGCAACGGUGAAACUCAAAGGAAUUGACGGGGGCCCGCACAAGCGGAGGAACAUGUGGUUUAAUUCGAUGAUACGCGAGGAACCUUACCCGGGUUUGAACGCAUUCGGACCGAGGUGGAAACACCUUUUCUAGCAAUAGCCGUUUGCGAGGUGCUGCAUGGUUGUCGUCAGCUCGUGCCGUGAGGUGUCGGCUUAAGUGCCAUAACGAGCGCAACCCUUGCCACUAGUUACUAACAGGUAAAGCUGAGGACUCUGGUGGGACUGCCAGCGUAAGCUGCGAGGAAGGCGGGGAUGACGUCAAAUCAGCACGGCCCUUACAUCCGGGGCGACACACGUGUUACAAUGGCGUGGACAAAGGGAAGCCACCUGGCGACAGGGAGCGAAUCCCCAAACCACGUCUCAGUUCGGAUCGGAGUCUGCAACCCGACUCCGUGAAGCUGGAUUCGCUAGUAAUCGCGCAUCAGCCAUGGCGCGGUGAAUACGUUCCCGGGCCUUGUACACACCGCCCGUCAAGCCAUGGGAGCCGGGGGUACCUGAAGUCCGUAACCGCGAGGAUCGGCCUAGGGUAAAACUGGUGACUGGGGCUAAGUCGUAACAAGGUAGCCGUACCGGAAGGUGCGGCUGGAACACCUCCUUUCU